CCGCAUAGAUGUCUAGAGAGCUCCUUGAGGGGCUGGUGGGCACCUGUUGAGGGUCUUUCAGACAGCAGAUAAAGUUUGUUAGACGCUAACUUUCUGCACACUGGACAGCGCGUGAGGACGACGAGAUUCAAUGUAAACACAAUGGCUGGUGUUGGAGCAGAGAAGAGCCCGGGGACUCGGUUUUCCCCUCGACUUCAUUUGGCUGUGUGACAGGAUCCAUAACCCUCUCUGAAUCCCAUCAAAUGAUGUGGUAUGAAGUGUCAUCUUCUCUCUGAGCGCUUCUGAGGAGUUUCAUCUCUGCAGGGAACUGUCAUCAGGUUCCUCUUCCUUUCUCUCUCUCCCAUUCCCAUCAAUUGGAUGGGCUAUCAGACACGUCCAAUCAGAGGCCAGUCCCACCGGUCAGACUGAAGGUGAUCAGCAGGUGAAGUUGCUCCCCUCUGCGUCUCUACUUCCUGUCCCACCAGGGCAGCGUCCCCCUCUGUGUUCUUUAUCCAUCCUGAGUGCAGUGAAACAACAAAAGUAGUCUCUGAGAUGCACAAAAGACGAAUCCAGUCGGAGUCUUUGAUCUCUCAAGCUGUUUCAUGGCACUCAGCAGGUGUAGCAGUGCUUCAGUCCAAAAGAAGUGAAAUAAAAAUCACCCAUCUAUAAAAAAAAAGUGUCUCCCAUGGCUCCGG